rnacentral:rRNA from 1 species
UACGUAGGGGGCAAGCGUUUGUCCGGAUUCAUUGGGCGUAAAGGGCGCGUAGGCGGCCUGUUAAGUCGAACGUGAAAUCCCCGGGCUCAACCCGGGAACUGCGUCCGAUACUGGCAGGCUUGAAUCCGGGAGAGGGAUGCGGAAUUCCAGGUGUAGCGGUGAAAUGCGUAGAUAUCUGGAGGAACACCGGUGGCGAAGGCGGCAUCC